CAGUCGAGCGGCAGCGGGAAAGUAGCUUCCUACUUUUGCCGGCGAGCGGCGGACGGGUGAGUAAUGCCUGGGGAUCUGCCCAGUCGAGGGGGAUAACAGUUGGAAAUGACUGCUAAUACCGCAUACGCCCUACGGGGGAAAGGAGGGGACCUUCGGGCCUUUCGCGAUUGGAUGAACCCAGGUGGGAUUAGCUAGUUGGUGGGGUAAUGGCUCACCAAGGCGACGAUCCCUAGCUGGUCUGAGAGGAUGAUCAGCCACACUGGAACUGAGACACGGUCCAGACUCCUACGGGAGGCAGCAGUGGGGAAUAUUGCACAAUGGGGGAAACCCUGAUGCAGCCAUGCCGCGUGUGUGAAGAAGGCCUUCGGGUUGUAAAGCACUUCCAGCGAGGAGGAAAGGUUGGCGCCUAAUACGUGUCAACUGUGACGUUACUCGCAGAAGAAGCAUCGGCUAACUCCGUGCCAGCAGCCGCGGCAAUACGGAGGGUGCAAGCGUUAAUCGGAAUUACUGGGCGUAAAGCGCACGCAGGCGGUUGGAUAAGUUAGAUGUGAAAGCCCCGGGCUCAACCUGGGAAUUGCAUUUAAAACUGUCCAGCUAGAGUCUUGUAGAGGGGGGUAGAAUUCCAGGUGUAGCGGUGAAAUGCGUAGAGAUCUGGAGGAAUACCGGUGGCGAAG
rnacentral:rRNA from 1 species